GACGAACGCUGGCGGCGUGCUUAACACAUGCAAGUCGAACGAUGAAGAAGAGAAACGCGAACUUCGGUUCAAAUUUCACUUCGGAUUAGUGGCAGACGGGUGAGUAACGCGUGAGCAACCUACCUCUUACAAAGGGAUAGCCUCGGGAAACCGUGAUUAAUACCAUAUGACACAUUCAUAAGGCAUCUUAAGAAUGUUAAAGCUACGGCGGUAAGAGAUGGGCUCGCGUCCCAUUAGCUAGUUGGUGAGGUAACGGCCCACCAAGGCGACGAUGGGUAACCGGCCUGAGAGGGUGACCGGUCACAUUGGAGCUGGGACACGGUCCGAACUCCUACGGGAGGCAGCAGUGGGGAAUAUUGCACAAUGGAGGGAACUCUGAUGCAGCGACGCCGCGUGAGCGAUGAAAGAAUUCGUUUCGUAAAGCUCUGUUCUAUGGGAAGAAAAGGACUGUACCAUAGGAGAAAGCCCCGGCUAAAUACGUG
rnacentral:rRNA from 1 species